rnacentral:sRNA from 17 species
CAAUGACACUUUCAUCAGAGCGACUAUCCGGUUUAUAGCGAUAAACCGAGUCGCUGAUACCUACAACUUUGCAAGCGCGGCGUAAACUCACAGUAUGAGCAUUGACUGCAUAAUCAACCAACUCCCGACGCACAGUUGGCUUC